UUUACAUGUUUUUUUAAAUUUAAAUUGAUAAUAACAGUAGUAGGUCGUGCAGUAUUUAGCAAUAAUUUUUUCAUAUAUAUAUGGUAGUAAAAUAUUUGGUAUUUAUGUUUAUUAAUAUAUAUAUAAAUAAAUAUAUAUUUAUAUUUAUGUACAUUGAAUAUUAUUAAAAGUAUAUACAUACAACAUUUUUACAGCAUUAUUCAUUUUCGCACCACACAGAUAUAUAGCCGCAACAAGUGGUUGGAGUUGUAGGUAAUUUCAAAAUGAAUACAUACAAAAUUUUAAUAAAGGUAGUGAUAGAUUGGUGCAUGUAGUAACCAUUGCCAAACAAAUCCAUUUUAAUAGAUAGAGAAAAAGAAAGAGAAAGAAAUAUAAAAAUACAAAUUAAUAUAAAAUUUAUGUUAAAAACAAAUUGUAUUUUACUUAAAUUCAUUUAUUUUGGUUCAUUAAAUACGUUAAAAGUUAUUCAAUAAAUAUGUAUCGGCAUUUGAUCUUUAUCGAAAAUAAGUAGUAAUGAUAGAAUUCCCACAUUGCAGUAUGCUACUUCAAGAGCAAAAAAUGAAAAUAGGCAUAAUGGAAAUCACUUUCCAUUAUUUUUGGUAACCAUAAAUGUAGAAUUGCUUAUCUAAGUAUAUCUGCAAAUGGACAGCAAAUAAAUGAUAUACAGAUAUGUUACUAGAAAUAGUAUAUAAAUACGACUCUGUGUGGAGCGGCACGAGAAGACCGGUGAAAGAAAAAAAAAAAGUCAUCGAAGACGGCGUUUAUUUUUGUUAAAAUUACUUUCAUUUGUAUUUGUAUUUUUAUUAAAUGUUUUUCUCAAAAAAAGUUGUUGUGCAAGCAAUUGUGCGUGUUAUAAUAUAAAUAUUGGGCUUCACUACGUGCGGUUUGCCUGUGUGCGUCCGUGUCAUUAAUUUCAAGCAUUGAAGUCAAUUAUUUUUCUCA
rnacentral:lncRNA from 1 species